rnacentral:rRNA from 1 species
AGAGUUUGAUCCUGGCUCAGGAUGAACGCUGGCGGCGUGUUUUAAGCAUGCAAGUGGAACGAACACCUUCGGGUGUAAGUCGCGAACGGCUGAGUAAUAGAUAGGAAUCUACCUUUUGGUGGGGAAUACCUCGGAGAAAUCCGGGUUAAUACCGCAUAAGACCUACGGGUGAAAGGGCAUAACUGCCCGCCGAAAGAGGAGCCUUUCUCCUAUCAGCUUGUUGGUGAGGUAAAAGCUCACCAAGGCUACGACGGGUAGGGGGCGUGAGAGCGUGUUCCCCCAGAAUGGCACUGAGAUACGGGCCAUACUCCUACGGGAGGCAGCAACUGAGAAUCGUGCGCAAUGGACGAAAGUCUGACGCCGCGACGCCGCGUGAAGGAUGAAGGCCUUAGGGUUGUAAACUUCUUUUGCCAAAAGGGAGACCUUUUGGAGAAUAAGCACCGGCUAACUACGUGCCAGCAGCAGCGGUAAUACGUAGGGUGCAAGCGUUAUCCGGAUUUAUUGGGCGUAAAGAGUCACGUAGGCGUCUUGGAAAGUUGUUCUUUAAAUACCAGAGCUCAACUUUGGAAAGGGGAGCAAUACUGCCAAGAUUGAAAGGUUUCGGGGCUACUGGAACUAUCCAUGUAGGGGUGAAAUCCGUUGAUAUGGA